GGGGGAUUAGCUCAGCGGGAGAGCACUGCGCUGGCAGCGCAGGGGUCAGGGGUUCGAAUCCCCUAUCCUCCACCA
rnacentral:tRNA from 1 species